rnacentral:rRNA from 1 species
AACGAACGCUGGCGGCAUGCCUAACACAUGCAAGUCGAACGAGACCUUCGGGUCUAGUGGCGCACGGGUGCGUAACGCGUGGGAACCUGCCCUUUGGUUCGGAAUAACUCCCCGAAAGGGGUGCUAAUACCGGAUAAUGUCUUCGGACCAAAGAUUUAUCGCCUUUGGAUGGGCCCGCGUUGGAUUAGCUAGUUGGUAGGGUAAAAGCCUACCAAGGCGACGAUCCAUAGCUGGUCUGAGAGGAUGAUCAGCCACACUGGGACUGAGACACGGCCCAGACUCCUACGGGAAGCAGCAGUGGGGAAUAUUGGACAAUGGGCGAAAGCCUGAUCCAGCAAUGCCGCGUGAGUGAUGAAGGCCUUAGGGUUGUAAAGCUCUUUUACCCGGGAUGAUAAUGACAGUACCGGGAGAAUAAGCUCCGGCUAACUCCGUG